GCUCCGGUGGCCUAGUGGUUAGAGCGUCCGCCUCAGAUGUGGGAGGACGUGGUUCGAUCCCCGGUCGAGUCA